UACGGAGGGUGCAAGCAUUGAUCGGAAUUACUGGGUGUAAAGGGCGCGUAGGCGGCAGGAUAAGUCGGAUGUGAAAUUCCGGGGCUCAACCCCGGAGCUGCAUUUGAAACUAUCCAGCUAGAGGUUAGUAAGGGAAAACGGAAUUCCACGUGUAGCGGUGAAAUGCGUAGAUAUCGGAAGGAACAUCAGUGGCGAAAGCGACUUCCUGGACCAGUACCGACGUUCAGGCACGAAAGCGUGGGGAGCAAACAGG
rnacentral:rRNA from 1 species